AUUGAACGCUGGCGGCAUGCCUUACACAUGCAAGUCGAACGGUAACAGGUCUUCGGAUGCUGACGAGUGGCGAACGGGUGAGUAAUACAUCGGAACGUGCCCAGUCGUGGGGGAGAACGUAGCGAAAGCUACGCUAAUACCGUAUACGAUCAAAGGAUGAAAGCGGGGGAACGCAAGACAUCGCGCCAUUGGCGUGGCCGGUGGCAGAUUAGGUAGUUGGUGGGGUACAGGCUCACCAAGCCGACGAUCUGUAGCUGGUCGGAGAGGACGACCAGCCACACGGGGACUGAGACACGGCCCAGACUCCUACGGGAGGCAGCAGUGGGGAAUUUUGGACAAUGGGCGCAAUCCUGAUCCAGCCAUUCCGCGUGCAGGAUGAAGUCCUUCGGGUUGUAAACUGCUUUUGUACGGAACGAAAAGUCUCUGGUUAAUACCCGGGGCUCAUGACGGUACCGUAAGAAUAAGCACCGGCUAACUACGUGCCAGCCGCCGCCGUAAAAC
rnacentral:rRNA from 1 species